GGGAGGCCCGGAACGCCCGGGCGCGGCGCGCGGUACUCACCGCGGUGGAGCCGCCCGGCUGCCGGUGGCCUCACGGAGCUCCAGGCCGCGGGUGGCCACUCUGACUGCACCCCUGCGGAACGCGGGCGCCUCCACCUACUGUGGACUCCCAGCUCAGAGCCCCCGCUGCCCCCUCGCGAGCGCCCCACCCACCCCACUCUCCAUACCUGCUUUGCCCCCAAGGCCAGAGGCAGCCAAGCUGGAGGGCCCACCUGGGACUGGGGACACUUGUACGUUUUCAUAGGAGCUGGAUCCAGCAAGCUGAGUCCUGGAGGCAGGGGCCCUGGGAUAGGCCCUGGCAGGGGUGAGGAUGAGGAACAACCCCAGCUUGUGCACCUCAGGAAAAGCCUGCAGCACUGACUGCUCCAGGGAGCAGCAGGAAGUGGAGUACCUGCCCUGUCAGAGACGCCCAACCGCAGGGGCUGCUGCUGGUGUGGGAAGAGAGAUUUUAAUUCCAGAUAUAAAUCUUAGACUAGAGGUCGGAGAAAUGUUUUGUCUGGUCCAUACAGUGUUUUGAGGACAAGGACAGGAAUUGCAGGAGAGGUCCUGCCCCUGUAUUUGUAGGCAAUGAGAGGGUGUUGUCUGUAGAGAAUUUUUUUAAAAAGCCAACUAAAAAUGAGUCUCCUUUAUACCAUGUUCCAACAAUUCUAAACAAUGUCAGUGGUAAAACAGUCCUCUCUGAAAAAUCUUUUGUAGAUCUGAGUACUAAAUUGUUGUGGCUACUGAUGAGUUAUAAUAAUAUAUAAGCUUCAAAUUAGCACAUUUGUAUUACUUAUCCUUUAAUAAACAUUGUAAUCUACAUGAAAGUUAAUCCAGAGAACUCCCAGUUACACGAGAUUGGCCCCUCACACAAGCAGAUUCAUCUAUGUGUGUUUAUAUUUAGAAUUGGUUCUUAAGAUCUGUAAUUGCUCAAGUUUGCCUUGGGUGCAGUUUCUAUUUCCAACUCCCAAGAUAUUGCAUAUUCCUGCAUUUAAUCAGCAGAUUUAAAAUAAACAAUGACAGCACAAUAAUUGUAAAGUCAAAAAAGAUAAAGUGACUUGAGUUAUUUAAUUCUGUCAUUCUAGGUUACAACUUGUUUUUAUUUAUGUUGAACAUUUUUGGAAUGUAUUGUGAAAUGGGAUUUUUAUGAAUCUUUGUCAAAUAUCCUUAGGUUUAAGACUUUUCCAACAAAAAAAAGUGAACAAAACAGCAGAAGACUAAUAGACACUGAGAAGGGACUUGUGGUUACCAAGGGGGAGGGAUUGGGGUGAGUAUGUGAGGAGGGUGAGGGGGAUAAAGGGGCACAAAAAUUCUCAAUCAUAAUAUAAGCUGGCCAUGGGAAUGGUAGUGUUACUGGAAAAAAAAGGAAAACCUGGACUGGAUCGCUGACUGAAGAACCAAGCGGCACUCGGAAGUCUUGGAGGGCUGAGGUUUUAUUUUACACCGGCGGGCUCAGAGGAGAAUAAAUCUCCAAAGGUCUGAGCCCCGAACAAAGGCAAGGGGAGCAAUUUAUAUCUUUCUGCUUCCAUAUCUGUAACAUUUCUACAUGCGCAGUAAGUAGGGUGACAAAGGAGUUUGGGAGAGUGAGGAUGAAGGGAAGGAGGGACCAGGAAUGUUUGAGUGUUUCUUUUGAGAAGCAGAGGGGGCCACCUGGACUCGAUCACUGACCUUGUAAAUGUUAAAUGUUUUACUUAAAUGUUUUCCUUAUCAGUAAUACAGUAUGGAGAAUAUAGCCAAUGAUUCUGUAACAUCUUUCUGUGUUGCAGAUAGUAACUACACUAUUGAGGGUGAGGAUAUAAUAAUGUGGGUAACUGUUGAACU